AUUGAACGCUGGCGGCAUGCCUUACACAUGCAAGUCGAACGGUAACAGGUCUUCGGAUGCUGACGAGUGGCGAACGGGUGAGUAAUACAUCGGAACGUGCCUAGUAGUGGGGGAUAACUACUCGAAAGAGUGGCUAAUACCGCAUGAGAUCUACGGAUGAAAGCAGGGGAUCGCAAGACCUUGUGCUACUAGAGCGGCCGAUGGCAGAUUAGGUAGUUGGUGGGAUAAAAGCUUACCAAGCCGACGAUCUGUAGCUGGUCUGAGAGGACGAUCAGCCACACUGGGAGUGAGACACGGCCCAGACGCCUACGGGAGGCAGCAGUGGGGAAUUUUGGACAAUGGGCGCAAGCCUGAUCCAGCAAUGCCGCGUGCAGGAUGAAGGCCUUCGGGUUGUAACCUGCUUUUGUACGGAACGAAAAGCCCUGGGUUAAUACCCUGGGGUCAUGACGGUACCGUAAGAAUAAGCACCGGCUAACUACGUGACAGCCGCCGCAGUAAGAC
rnacentral:rRNA from 1 species